rnacentral:rRNA from 1 species
ACUCCUACGGGAGGCAGCAGUGGGGAAUAUUGCACAAUGGGGGAAACCCUGAUGCAGCCAUGCCGCGUGUGUGAAGAAGGCCUUCGGGUUGUAAAGCACUUUCAGUAGGGAGGAAGGUAGUGUAGUUAACACCUGCAUUAUUUGACGUUACCUACAGAAGAAGCACCGGCUAACUCCGUGCCAGCAGCCGCGGUAAUACGGAGGGUGCGAGCGUUAAUCGGAAUUACUGGGCGUAAAGCGCAUGCAGGCGGCCUGUUAAGUCAGAUGUGAAAGCCCGGGGCUUAACCUCGGAAUUGCAUUUGAAACUGGCAGGCUAGAGUCUUGUAGAGGGGGGUAGAAUUUCAGGUGUAGCGGUGAAAUGCGUAGAGAUCUGAAGGAAUACCAGUGGCGAAGGCGGCCCCCUGGACAAAGACUGACGCUCAGAUGCGAAAGCGU